rnacentral:rRNA from 1 species
GACCUCAAAUCAGGCAAGAAUACCCGCUGAACUUAAGCAUAUCAAUAAGCGGAGGAAAAGAAACUAACAAGGAUUCCCCUAGUAACGGCGAGUGAAGAGGGAAGAGCUCAAAUUUUAAAUCUGCCUUGUUUCAAGGUCGAGUUGUAAUUUGAAGAAGCGUUUUCUUGGGCUCGCGGCCGGUAGAAGUUCUUUGGAACAGGACAUCAUAGAGGGUGACAAUCCCGUCUGCGACCGGUCGUGCGUUCAUCUACGAUACGCUUUCAAAGAGUCGAGUUGUUUGGGAUUGCAGCUCCAAAUGGGUGGUAAACAUCACCUAAGGCUAAAUAUUGGCGAGAGACCGAUAGCGAACAAGUACCGUGAGGGGAAAGAUGAAAAGAACUUUGAAAAGAGAGUUAAACAGUACGUGAAAUUGUUGAAAGGGAAACGAUUGAAGUCAGUCGUGCUGGCGCGAAAUCAACCCUCUCGUUGAGAGGUCACAUGGCGUGGCGAGCCUCAAAACCGUCACGAAGCGUGAACUCUUGGCGAAAAGGAGCACUUUCGUGUCCGCUGGUUAACAUCAAUUUCGAACGUCAUAAAAAGGCUGGAGGGAUGUGGCUCCUUCGGGAGUGUUAUAACCUUUAGCGGAAUGUGGUGGUCGGGAUUGAGGAUUGCAACGAAUACCUUUAGGGCUGUUCCACCUGGCUUCUCUUUGGUAUCCUGGUGACGACAGCUUGCUGACGUUGUUAGGAUUCGCCUUUGAACAGGCUAGAGUGUGAGCAAAUUCGUUAAGGAUGUUAACGUAAUGGCUUUAAACGACCCGUCUUGAAACACGGACCAAGGAGUCUAGCAUAUAUGCGAGUGUUUGAGUGUUGAAACUCGAGCGCGAAAUGAAAGUGAUAUUGGUAAGAUCCUCUUCCCCUCGGGGGAGCGGAGCAUUAUCGACCGAUCUGGAUAUUCUUUGAUAGAUUUGAGUAAGAGCA